rnacentral:rRNA from 1 species
GCUCUUGAUUGAAGUCCCAGUAAACGGCGGCCGUAACUAUAACGGUCCUAAGGUAGCGAAAUUCCUUGUCGGGUAAGUUCCGACCUGCACGAAUGGCGUAACGAUGGCCACACUGUCUCCUCCUGAGACUCAGCGAAGUUGAAAUGUUUGUGAUGAUGCAAUCUCCCCGCGGAAAGACGGAAAGACCCCAUGAACCUUUACUGUAGCUUUGUAUUGGACUUUGAACAGAUCUGUGUAGGAUAGGUGGGAGGCUUUGAAGCAGGGUCGCUAGAUCUUGUGGAGCCAACGUUGAAAUACCACCCUGGUGUGUUUGAGGUUCUAACCUAGGUCCAUUAUCUGGAUCGGGGACAGUGCAUGGUAGGCAGUUUGACUGGGGCGGUCUCCUCCCAAAGCGUAACGGAGGAGUUCGAAGGUACGCUAGUUACGGUCGGACAUCGUGACGAUAGUGCAAUGGCAUAAGCGUGCUUAACUGCGAGACUGACAAGUCGAGCAGAUGCGAAAGCAGGACAUAGUGAUCCGGUGGUUCUGUAUGGAAGGGCCAUCGCUCAACGGAUAAAAGGUACUCUGGGGAUAACAGGCUGAUACCGCCCAAGAGUUCAUAUCGACGGCGGUGUUUGGCACCUCGAUGUCGGCUCAUCUCAUCCUGGGGCUGUAGCCGGUCCCAAGGGUAUGGCUGUUCGCCAUUUAAAGAGGUACGUGAGCUGGGUUUAAAACGUCGUGAGACAGUUUGGUCCCUAUCUUCCGUGGGCGCUGCAGAUUUGAGGAAGCCUGCUCCUAGUACGAGAGGACCGGAGUGGACACACCUCUGGUGUAUCGGUUGUCACGCCAGUGGCAUUGCCGAGUAGCUAAGUGUGGAAGAGAUAACCGCUGAAAGCAUCUAAGCGGGAAACUCGUUUCAAGAUGAGAUCUGCCGGGGCCUUGAGCCCCCUGAAGAGUCGUUCAAGACCAGGACGUUGAUAGGUCAGGUGUGGAAGCGCAGUAAUGCGUUAAGCUAACUGAUACUAAUUGCUCGUGCGGCUUGACCCU